GUAAUUUUCAUACUUUACCCUCUUGAUGCAAGUUUUCAGUUCUAUUUCCUCCAAACAGAUAUUGUGUUGCAGAUUUUGUUCUGAUCUCACAAAGAACAACCCUGACAAAAGAGUUGGGACUUUAACUCUUCCCCUGAUGGCACACGAGUGCCAGGAGCUGCACGUGCACCUCACAGAGCCCUGCACGAUACAGCUUUUGUCCAUCAAUCUGGAGAGGUUACCAAGACUGAAGUGAAUAGGAGGAAAGGAAGUCUGCAGCUGUGAGACCCAUUUUUAAUGGUAUUACUUUCUCAAAAAAUUAUCAUUAAAUCAACUGUACUACAUCUAAAAAAACCAAAACGGCAUG
rnacentral:lncRNA from 1 species